GGUCUGGGGCUCUCUUCCCAGAGAGCUCGUAGGGGAGGACAGUCAAGGGACUCAAGCGUCUCUCUUGACUCCCCUUCUCUCGCUGUGCAGUGGCGGUGCCGAGGGGCCGACGCUCAGGGCUAAUCUCUAUCAGUCACCCUCGAGGCCCCGGGUAAUAUUGGGUGGAUCACAAGAACUAAUCUUUCAUGAUUUGGAAACUGGAAGGAAAGAAGCACUUUUGUAGCUGACUCACCUCAAUGGCAUGACCAGUGUCUGAGCCUACAACUGCGCUACCUUCUCUGGAUUUUUCUUCACCUUUUCCUCAUUCACGAGCCAGGACCCAUGUGGGCAGAGAGGAGAGUUCUCACCUGGAGUUCAGCAUGGUGGACUUGGGCCGCAGCCGUGGCCACCUGGUCCUCCAGAUCCGCCAGAUGGGUCUCAUCAGUGCCGCUGUGGAUGCAGCGGGCGGCAUCUUCUAGCUCAGUCAGCUGGGUCUCCAGUCCAUACACAGUGCCUGCU
rnacentral:lncRNA from 1 species